rnacentral:lncRNA from 10 species
GGAAGCUGGCUCAAGACCUGCUCAGGCUGUUUUCCCCUGCACUCACCUUGCGCUCCCAGAUCCUGGCCUUCCUCCUGUGGCGCGGUCUCAGGUCCGAACCCUCCUGCUUCUUGCGGACUCCUUCUGGCUGCCAAUUGCAGACACUGUUGAGCAAAUCAUCAGGGGAGCAGCAAGUGUACAGGCAGUUUGAAGAGCAGAGCCUUGGACCAGAGGAUCUCAAGUAUGUGUGCUGCAGACCCUUCUCGCUGCCUGAAGAAGUCCAGGGACUCCUCCCCAGAAUAAUGUUUUAAAUGCAUAAAAUAAAACACUUGAGAUUAUAAAGGAAACAAG